rnacentral:piRNA from 1 species
UGGAGAGCUCAAUAUGCACAGGCACU